UUCCGGUUGAUCCUGCCGGAGGCUACCGCUAUUGGAGUUCGAUUAAGCCAUGCGAGUCGAGAGUCCUCGGGACUCGGCGUACCGCUCAGUAACACGUGGGUAACCUGCCCUAUGCUGGGGAAUAACCUCGGGAAACUGAGAACAAUGCCCCAUAGCCCACUACGCCUGGAACGGUGAGUGGGUCAAAGCUCCGGCGGCAUAGGAUGGGCCUGCGCCGUAUCAGGUUGUAGGGGGUGUAAAGUACCCUCUAGCCAUCAACGCGUACGGGUGUUGGGAGACAUUGCCCGGAGAUGGAUUCUGAGACACGAAUCCAGACCCUACGGGGUGCAGCAGGCGCGAAAACUUGGCAAUGCGAGAAAUCGUGACCAGGGAACUCCAAGUGCGUAGGGUAAGACCUACGCUUUUCUUGACUCUUCAAAGGUCUUGGAAUAAGGGGUGGGUAAGGACGGUGCCAGCCGCCGCGGUAAUACCGGCGCCUCAAGUGGUAGUCGCUUUUAUUGGGCCUAAAACGUCCGUAGCCGGUCUGGUGCAUUCGUGGGUAAAUCAACCCGCUCAACGGGUUGAAUUCUGCGAGCACGGCCAGACUUGGGACCGGG
rnacentral:rRNA from 1 species